rnacentral:tRNA from 1 species
UGACCAAUGGUGUAACGGUAGCACUCCAGUCUCUGAAUCUGUCAGUCUUGGUUCGAAUCCAGGUUGGUCAACCA